rnacentral:rRNA from 1 species
UACGUAGGUCCCGAGCGUUAUCCGGAUUUAUUGGGCGUAAAGCGAGCGCAGGCGGUUGGAUAAGUCUGAAGUUAAAGGCUGUGGCUCAACCAUAGUAUGCUUUGGAAACUGUUCAACUUGAGUGCAGAAGGGGAGAGUGGAAUUCCAUGUGUAGCGGUGGGAUGCGUAGAUAUAUGGAGGAACACCGGUGGCGAAAGCGGCUCUCUGGUCUGUAACUGACGCUGAGGCUCGAAAGCGUGGGUAGCGAACAGG